GGAAACAGGUGCUAAUACCGUAUAACACUAUUUUCCGCAUGGAAGAAAGUUGAAAGGCGCUUUUGCGUCACUGAUGGAUGGACCCGCGGUGCAUUAGCUAGUUGGUGAGGUAACGGCUCACCAAGGCCACGAUGCAUAGCCGACCUGAGAGGGUGAUCGGCCACACUGGGACUGAGACACGGCCCAGACUCCUACGGGAGGCAGCAGUAGGGAAUCUUCGGCAAUGGACGAAAGUCUGACCGAGCAACGCCGCGUGAGUGAAGAAGGUUUUCGGAUCGUAAAACUCUGUUGUUAGAGAAGAACAAGGAUGAGAGUAAAAUGUUCAUCCCUUGACGGUAUCUAACCAGAAAGCCACGGCUAACUACGUGCCAGCAGCCGCGGUAAUACGUAGGUGGCAAGCGUUGUCCGGAUUUAUUGGGCGUAAAGCGAGCGCAGGCGGUUUCUUAAGUCUGAUGCGAAAGCCCCCGGCUCAACCGGGGAGGGUCAUUGGAAACUGGGAGACUUGAGUGCAGAAGAGGAGAGUGGAAUUCCAUGUGUAGCGGUGAAAUGCGUAGAUAUAUGGAGGAACACCAGUGGCGAAGGCGGCUCUCUGGUCUGUAACUGACGCUGAGGCUCGAAAGCGUGGGGAGCGAACAGGAUUAGAUACCCUGGUAGUCCACGCCGUAAACGAU
rnacentral:rRNA from 1 species